rnacentral:rRNA from 1 species
GAUGAACGCUAGCUACAGGCUUAACACAUGCAAGUCGAGGGGAAACGACAUCGAAAGCUUGCUUUUGGUGGGCGUCGACCGGCGCACGGGUGAGUAACGCGUAUCCAACCUGCCCACCACUUGGGGAUAACCUUGCGAAAGUAAGACUAAUACCCAAUGAUAUCCCACGAAGGCAUCCGAAUGGGAUUAAAGAUUUAUCGGUGAUGGAUGGGGAUGCGUCUGAUUAGCUUGUUGGCGGGGUAACGGCCCACCAAGGCAACGAUCAGUAGGGGUUCUGAGAGGAAGGUCCCCCACAUUGGAACUGAGACACGGUCCAAACUCCUACGGGAGGCAGCAGUGAGGAAUAUUGGUCAAUGGGCGAGAGCCUGAACCAGCCAAGUAGCGUGAGGGACGACUGCCCUAUGGGUUGUAAACCUCUUUUAUAAGGGAAUAAAAUACGGGACGUGUCCUGUUUUGCAUGUACCUUAUGAAUAAGGACCGGCUAAUUCCGUG